UUAAAGGUUCCAGCUGCUAUUGUUAUCACUGGAGGCAUAAAAUUGGAAUCCCAACUUCCAAUAUCAAAUUUUAGCACAAACGCUAUAAAAUGUAUCUUGUCAGAAUGUGCCAGAACCGCUAAGCUCUUUUCGGCUGAACAAAUUGCAGCUGGUGUCCUUAAAGGUCGAGAAUCAACUUGCUGUAUCCUCAGGGUUUAGGCAGCAAAUUGGUCCCAGUUUUCACCCUGCCGCAGGGCCGGCUGGGGAGGGCAGGGGUUUAGAUUAGCCGUGGCCUAGGCCGUUUGACGGGGUGACACGAGCCUGCGGGCCGAGUCCAAGGCCUGGAGAUAGGACCAACCGUCAGGAAUGCGAGGAAUGUUUUUCUUCGGACUCUAUCGAGGCACACAGACAGACCAUGGGGAUUCUGUCUGCAGUGACAGCCUUAACAUUUGCCAGAGCCCUGGACGGCUGCAGAAAUGGCACUGCCCACCCUGCAAGUGAGAAGGCAUAGGUCUCAGGGACUCCCCGUGGAAACCCAGUGACAAAACAAUAACACCAUCACCUGCGCUGAAAAGUGAGCAAAAAUAAUAGAGUGGUUAUCUCGAGAAAGCGGCUCCUGGAAAAUGCAUCCCUUAAAAUGGAAGCACCCAGCAGAGGCUGAUCUGUGGGGCUGGGGAGAAAUGGAGCAAUCGCCAUCACUCCAGGCUCAUCUGAGAACCCCAAAUUCCAUUAAGAAAAGAAUCUGCUGAGCAAGACCCUUUUGAAAGCCCCAGGGUGCUAAAGGAGCAGAAGGAAAGCCCGGCUUGGCAUCCACACGGCCACCAAAGCCCGGAGGUCAGGGACUGCCGGGAGGAACUGAUCUGAUGAGAGGAUCCGUGAGAGAGCAGGGCAACUGCACUAAGGGGCCAUUUCUCCAACAUGGACAGGGCACCGGGGAGCUUGGCUAACAUGGUCACUCAGCCUUCCUUUGUGGAAUCACAGGAGAGGAGGCUGCUUUGGGCCAGCAUUUACGAAAACUGUCUUUUUGGCCCCUGGACCCUGAUGAAUAGAAAAACUCUCCAGUCUGCAAACCCGCUGCAAUCGCUGCGUCAGCUCAGAGCCGAGAUGCUUCCCAAAUGAACACCUGGAUGGUGUAAAUCACCCUGACGGUAAACACUUCAGGCCAGGACACAGGCUGCAGGCGGGGUGGGGUGGCAUCCUCCCACCCGGCCGGGGUCCAUAAACCAGGCGCUGGCCCUGCGCUAAUAAAUGCUCCUUUCACAGCAAAAGACCCCUCCUCCCAGGCUGGGAUCACAGUCCCUGUAGAGAGGGUGCACGGAUAACCGACAGCGUUUCUCCCACCCUCACCACCGUCUGACUUACCCCGGGCUGGUAUCCGGGAGUGUUGUCAGUCAUUUAUGCCAUUAUGAAUGGCUUUACGAUACCUCGAGAGGGGGACCAGGGUCACGGGCUUCAUGGUGGCUAUUUUCUGAAGGUGGCGUGAGAAUAUAAAACCAAAAUUCAAGGUCUGCUUUUUAAAUAGCAUGCUAGUAAAGUCAGAAUAGUAAUGACGGGAACUGCAAGAUCGAUCUGAAAUGUUCCUAAGGUUAGUGGGAUCUACAGUGGCAUUCCCUCUUGUGAAACACAUUGAACUAAAAUGUUAAACUAACUCUCCCUCUUGUUGCUGCUGUCUUAAAAUCCUUGACCGCUGAUGGAUGGCCAUUUGGUGUAAACAAUUCUUAUAGAAAUCCCCGAAUAGGGGAGAAGCAGAGGGUAGACAGCAGAAUAUAUCUAGAAAAAGAACACCGCCUGGGGAAUUUCUCUGCAUUCGGAUGCUCUACUUUAAAAAAUAAAAUCUCUCCGUAUAAUUAUCCAGUUAGGAGGAGUCUUUUAAAUGGUAUCUUUUGUCUUCAGCCAGACAGAUGUGAGGACACACAAUGUAAACGUUAUACAGCAGCUUUGGGAGAGGCUUUUUAUGGCCCUGUGUCUUUCCACUCACAGUACAGACUCGAGAAAUGUAGGGAACUCGAGAGCAGCCACUCGGCCCCAGGAUCAACCCAGAACCGAAGAAAAACAACCAAGAGAAAUGAUUCUUCAGCCUGGAACGAAACGGGGAUCAAAUGGUUGCUGAUCAGAGCACAUAUUUAAAUGGGAAAAGUCAAAUUGAGCAUUAUUAAAUAAAGCUUGUUUAAUACGUCUCAAACAGAAAA